GUGACCUGCAGCUCUGCUCAGUGUCCUGCCUGUCAACAGCCCCAGGCGGGAGUCCUGGCAUCUCUGGACGAGCGGCAAGACGAGGCUGCCUUUUGUCCCUCAUCCCAACCCCCCAGGUGGCCAUUAAUGCUCGAGACCCCGCCUGUUUAUAACUCCAAGCAGGCCGCUGAGGUGGUUUAGAUGAGGACGUCCCUGUGGAUGAGGAGGUCAAGAACUAUGUAGCUCCAGAAUGGUAAUGGUCAUCCGUGGGAACACUGAAGUCAUUCAUGGGCAUGGAAGGAUCUAGAAGGUCUAGAAGGUUCAUACACACAGAGAAGGGGACCAUGUGAGGACAUACCAAGAAAGUGGCCACCUAUAAUCCUGGAAGAGAAUCCACAUCAGAAGCCAGCCCUGAUUGCACUUUGAUCUUAGUCUUCCAGCCUGUAGACUGAGAAAAUAAAUUUCUGUUGUUAAAGCCA